rnacentral:tRNA from 1 species
AUGGUUGAAACCAAAGUAGAGGUGAGUCACCGUUAAUGAUCUUGAUUGAAAUUAUUUCCAACCGUU